CGGGGCGUGGCGCAGCCUGGUUAGCGCGCUUGCUUUGGGAGCAAGAAGUCGAGGGUUCGAAUCCCUCCGCCCCGA
rnacentral:tRNA from 1 species